CCAACGGCCCUCUUUAGGGCCACAUUUUUCAAAAAUCCACUAAUUG
rnacentral:ncRNA from 16 species